rnacentral:lncRNA from 1 species
UGAGUAUGCCUCAGGAAACUUUUUUUCCCCCAUAAAAAUAGUCUUCCGUUUUGUUUUUUUUUUUAUCUUUCAGUUGAGGAAGAUGGCAGCAUGAAUCAAAGACAUGGACUAAUAACUUGUAAUGAGAGACGGAUAAAUGUGGAACCCCCAGGCAUGUCUCUGCUCAGCGUUCCCAUCAGGUGCAGUGGCCUGUUAUGGAUAAAGAAGGAGAGGGCUGGGCCAGAUGAUCGUGUGCCCUUCCCCAAGGUCCUACCGGGCAGACAGUGACGGAGGUUCGGCCACCCAGCCCCUCACCCACAGCUGGUCGGACUAGAGGAGGAAGUGACUCACGAAGAGCAGGUUUGCUCUAAGAACAGAAGGAGCAAGUGUUGCAAGAAGAGGAGGGAUUUUGGAGCCGACGCUUUGAUGAUAAAAUUGGAUUGAAAGAGAGGCCACUGAUGGUUGAAGGUAAGAGUGACUAUUUAUAACCAAAACCUCUGGAUCUGUGAAUUGGGAUGGUGUCUUUUCAUAGAGACAGUUGUCACUCUGGUAUGAUUAUAAUAUGGAUCUUUGACUGUUGUUCAUUCGCUGAUAAUGUAUUCAUUCUAUGCUGAGCCAAGCUCCA